GAUGAACGCUGGCGGUGUGCCUAAUACAUGCAAGUCGAGCGAACAGACGAGGAGCUUACUCCUCUGACGUUAGCGGCGGACGGGUGAGUAACACGUGGAUAACCUACCUAUAAGACUGGGAUAACUUCGGGAAACCGGAGCUAAUACCGGAUAACAUGUUGAACCGCAUGGUUCAACAGUGAAAGACGGUCUUGCUGUCACUUAUAGAUGGAUCCGCGUCGCAUUAGCUAGUUGGUAAGGUAACGGCUUACCAAGGCAACGAUGCGUAGCCGACCUGAGAGGGUGAUCGGCUACACUGGAACUGAGACACGGUCCAGACUCCUACGGGAGGCAGCAGUAGGGAAUCUUCCGCAAUGGGCGAAAGCCUGACGGAGCAACGCCGCGUGAGUGAAGAAGGUCUUCGGAUCGUAAAACUCUGUUAUUAGGGAAGAACAAAUGUGUAAGUAACUAUGCACGUCUUGACGGUACCUAAUCAGAAAGCCACGGCUAACUACGUG
rnacentral:rRNA from 1 species